rnacentral:rRNA from 1 species
CUCGAGUGGCGAACGGGUGAGUAACACGUGGGUGAUCUGCCCCUGACUUUGGGAUAAGCCUGGGAAACUGGGUCUAAUACCGGAUAUGACCAUGGGAUGCAUGUUCUGUGGUGGAAAGCUUUGCGGUUGGGGAUGGGCCCGCGGCCUAUCAGCUUGUUGGUGGGGUAAUGGCCUACCAAGGCGACGACGGGUAGCCGACCUGAGAGGGUGAUCGGCCACACUGGGACUGAGACACGGCCCAG